GGCGUGCUUACACAUGCACGUCGAGCGGAAAGGCCCUUCGGGGUACUCGAGCGGCGAACGGGUGAGUAACACGUGAGUAACCUGCCCUUGACUUCGGGAUAAGCCUGGGAAACCGGGUCUAAUACCGGAUAUGACUCUGCGUGGCAUCGCGUGGGGUGGAAAGUUUUUUCGGUCGAGGAUGGGCUCGCGGCCUAUCAGCUUGUUGGUGGGGUAGUGGCCUACCAAGGCGACGACGGGUAGCCGGCCUGAGAGGGCGACCGGCCACACUGGGACUGAGACACGGCCCAGACUCCUACGGGAGGCAGCAGUGGGGAAUAUUGCGCAAUGGGCGGAAGCCUGACGCAGCGACGCCGCGUGGGGGAUGACGGCCUUCGGGUUGUAAACCUCUUUCAGCAGGGACGAAGUUGACGUGUACCUGCAGAAGAAGCGCCGGCUAACUACGUGCCAGCAGCCGCGGUAAUACGUAGGGCGCAAGCGUUGUCCGGAAUUAUUGGGCGUAAAGAGCUCGUAGGUGGCUUGUCGCGUCUGCCGUGAAAGCCCAUGGCCUUAACUGUGGGUCUGCGGUGGAUACGGGCUGGCUAGAGGUAGGUAGGGGCAAGCGGAAUUCCUGGUGUAGCGGUGAAAUGCGCAGAUAUCAGGAGGAACACCGGUGGCUAAGCGGCUUGCUGGGCCUUACCUGACGCUGAGGAGCGAAAGCGUGGGGAGCGAACAGGAUUAGAUACCCUGGUAGUCCACGCUGUAAACGUUGGGCGCUAUGUGUGGGGUCCUUCCACGGGCUCCGUGCCGUACUAACGCAUUAAGCGCCCCGCCUGGGGAGUACGGCCGCAAGGCUAAAACUCAAAGGAAUUGACGGGGGCCCGCACAAUCGGCGGAGCAUGUUGCUUAAUUCGACGCAACGCGAAGAACCUUACCAAGGCUUGACAUCGCCGGAAAACUCGCAGAGAUGCGGGGUCCUUUUUGGGCCGGUGACAGGUGGUGCAUGGCUGUCGUCAGCUCGUGUCGUGAGAUGUUGGGUUAAGUCCCGCAACGAGCGCAACCCUCGUUCCAUGUUGCCAGCACGUAAUGGUGGGGACUCAUGGGAGACCGCCGGGGUCAACUCGGAGGAAGGUGGGGAUGACGUCAAGUCAUCAUGCCCCUUAUGUCUUGGGCUGCAAACAUGCUACAAUGGCCGGUACAGAGGGCUGCGAUACCGUGAGGUGGAGCGAAUCCCUUAAAGCCGGUCUCAGUUCGGAUUGGGGUCUGCAACUCGACCCCAUGAAGUCGGAGUCGCUAGUAAUCGCAGAUCAGCA
rnacentral:rRNA from 1 species